GAAGAUGUUCUGAAAGAAAUCGCUACAUCCCCUUAUUCUUCAAACCAAGGAAGUCACCACUUCAAGACACUAUAUAUGAUCGGGGA